rnacentral:rRNA from 1 species
CGGUAAGGCCUUUCGGGGUACACGAGCGGCGAACGGGUGAGUAACACGUGGGUGAUCUGCCCUGCACUCUGGGAUAAGCCCGGGAAACUGGGUCUAAUACCGGAUAUGACUGCAUGCCGCAUGGUGUGUGGUGGAAAGCUUUAUGUGGUGCAGGAUGGGCCCGCGGCCUAUCAGCUUGUUGGUGGGGUAAUGGCCUACCAAGGCGACGACGGGUAGCCGACCUGAGAGGGUGACCGGCCACACUGGGACUGAGACACGGCCCAGACUCCUACGGGAGGCAGCAGUGGGGAAUAUUGCACAAUGGGCGGAAGCCUGAUGCAGCGACGCCGCGUGAGGGAUGAAGGCCUUCGGGUUGUAAACCUCUUUCAGCAGGGACGAAGCGUGAGUGACGG